rnacentral:rRNA from 1 species
UAGGGAGGGGGCUAGCGUUGUUCGGAAUUACUGGGCGUAAAGCGCACGUAGGCGGACCAGAAAGUCAGCGGUGAACUCCCGGGGCGCAACCCCGGAACUGCCUUUGAAACUUCUGGUCUUGAGGUCGAGAGAGGUGAGUGGAAUUCCGAGUGUAGAGGUGAAAUUCGUAGAUAUUCGGAGGAACACCAGUGGCGAAGGCGGCUCACUGGCUCGAUUCUGACGCUGAGGUGCGACAGCGUGGGGAGCAAACAGG